AUCUGGCGUCUUUGGCGUCCGAGUUGUAAUUUCAAGAAGUGUCUUCUGGUUUGGCCCUUGCAUAUGUUCCUUGGAACAGGACGUCAUAGAGGGUGAGAAUCCCGUAUAUGGUGAGGUGCCCAUUUCCUUUGUAAGACGCUCUCUAAGAGUCGAGUUGUUUGGGAAUGCAGCUCUAAGUGGGUGGUAAAUUCCAUCUAAAGCUAAAUAUUGGCGAGAGACCGAUAGCGAACAAGUACUGUGAAGGAAAGAUGAAAAGAACUUUGAAAAGAGAGUGAAAAAGUACGUGAAAUUGCUGAAAGGGAAGGGCUUGAGAUCAGACUUGGUAUUCAGUGAUCAGCUGUCUUUCGGGACUGUGCACUCGCUGUUUACUGGGCCAACAUCAGUUUGGAUGGCGAGAUAAUGACAAUUGAAUGUGGCUCUCUCUUCGGGGGGAGUGUUAUAGCUUUUGUUGAUAUCGCCUAU
rnacentral:rRNA from 1 species